GGUUAAGCGACUAAGCGUACACGGUGGAUGCCCUGGCAGUCAGAGGCGAUGAAGGACGUGCUAAUCUGCGAUAAGCGUCGGUAAGGUGAUAUGAACCGUUAUAACCGGCGAUUUCCGAAUGGGGAAACCCAGUGUGAUUCGUCACACUAUCAUUAACUGAAUCCAUAGGUUAAUGAGGCGAACCGGGGGAACUGAAACAUCUAAGUACCCCGAGGAAAAGAAAUCAACCGAGAUUCCCCCAGUAGCGGCGAGCGAACGGGGAGCAGCCCAGAGCCUGAAUCAGUGUGUGUGUUAGUGGAAGCGUCUGGAAAGGCGCGCGAUACAGGGUGACAGCCCCGUACACAAAAAUGCACAUGCUGUGAGCUCGAUGAGUAGGGCGGGACACGUGGUAUCCUGUCUGAAUAUGGGGGGACCAUCCUCCAAGGCUAAAUACUCCUGACUGACCGAUAGUGAACCAGUACCGUGAGGGAAAGGCGAAAAGAACCCCGGCGAGGGGAGUGAAAAAGAACCUGAAACCGUGUACGUACAAGCAGUGGGAGCACGCUUAGGCGUGUGACUGCGUACCUUUUGUAUAAUGGGUCAGCGACUUAUAUUCUGUAGCAAGGUUAACCGAAUAGGGGAGCCGAAGGGAAACCGAGUCUUAACUGGGCGUUAAGUUGCAGGGUAUAGACCCGAAACCCGGUGAUCUAGCCAUGGGCAGGUUGAAGGUUGGGUAACACUAACUGGAGGACCGAACCGACUAAUGUUGAAAAAUUAGCGGAUGACUUGUGGCUGGGGGUGAAAGGCCAAUCAAACCGGGAGAUAGCUGGUUCUCCCCGAAAGCUAUUUAGGUAGCGCCUCGUGAAUUCAUCUCCGGGGGUAGAGCACUGUUUCGGCAAGGGGGUCAUCCCGACUUACCAACCCGAUGCAAACUGCGAAUACCGGAGAAUGUUAUCACGGGAGACACACGGCGGGUGCUAACGUCCGUCGUGAAGAGGGAAACAACCCAGACCGCCAGCUAAGGUCCCAAAGUCAUGGUUAAGUGGGAAACGAUGUGGGAAGGCCCAGACAGCCAGGAUGUUGGCUUAGAAGCAGCCAUCAUUUAAAGAAAGCGUAAUAGCUCACUGGUCGAGUCGGCCUGCGCGGAAGAUGUAACGGGGCUAAACCAUGCACCGAAGCUGCGGCAGCGACACUGUGUGUUGUUGGGUAGGGGAGCGUUCUGUAAGCCUGUGAAGGUGUACUGUGAGGUAUGCUGGAGGUAUCAGAAGUGCGAAUGCUGACAUAAGUAACGAUAAAGCGGGUGAAAAGCCCGCUCGCCGGAAGACCAAGGGUUCCUGUCCAACGUUAAUCGGGGCAGGGUGAGUCGACCCCUAAGGCGAGGCCGAAAGGCGUAGUCGAUGGGAAACAGGUUAAUAUUCCUGUACUUGGUGUUACUGCGAAGGGGGGACGGAGAAGGCUAUGUUGGCCGGGCGACGGUUGUCCCGGUUUAAGCGUGUAGGCUGGUUUUCCAGGCAAAUCCGGAAAAUCAAGGCUGAGGCGUGAUGACGAGGCACUACGGUGCUGAAGCAACAAAUGCCCUGCUUCCAGGAAAAGCCUCUAAGCAUCAGGUAACAUCAAAUCGUACCCCAAACCGACACAGGUGGUCAGGUAGAGAAUACCAAGGCGCUUGAGAGAACUCGGGUGAAGGAACUAGGCAAAAUGGUGCCGUAACUUCGGGAGAAGGCACGCUGAUAUGUAGGUGAAGUCCCUCGCGGAUGGAGCUGAAAUCAGUCGAAGAUACCAGCUGGCUGCAACUGUUUAUUAAAAACACAGCACUGUGCAAACACGAAAGUGGACGUAUACGGUGUGACGCCUGCCCGGUGCCGGAAGGUUAAUUGAUGGGGUUAGCGCAAGCGAAGCUCUUGAUCGAAGCCCCGGUAAACGGCGGCCGUAACUAUAACGGUCCUAAGGUAGCGAAAUUCCUUGUCGGGUAAGUUCCGACCUGCACGAAUGGCGUAAUGAUGGCCAGGCUGUCUCCACCCGAGACUCAGUGAAAUUGAACUCGCUGUGAAGAUGCAGUGUACCCGCGGCAAGACGGAAAGACCCCGUGAACCUUUACUAUAGCUUGACACUGAACAUUGAGCCUUGAUGUGUAGGAUAGGUGGGAGGCUUUGAAGUGUGGACGCCAGUCUGCAUGGAGCCGACCUUGAAAUACCACCCUUUAAUGUUUGAUGUUCUAACGUAGACCCGUGAUCCGGGUUGCGGACAGUGUCUGGUGGGUAGUUUGACUGGGGCGGUCUCCUCCUAAAGAGUAACGGAGGAGCACGAAGGUUGGCUAAUCCUGGUCGGACAUCAGGAGGUUAGUGCAAUGGCAUAAGCCAGCUUGACUGCGAGCGUGACGGCGCGAGCAGGUGCGAAAGCAGGUCAUAGUGAUCCGGUGGUUCUGAAUGGAAGGGCCAUCGCUCAACGGAUAAAAGGUACUCCGGGGAUAACAGGCUGAUACCGCCCAAGAGUUCAUAUCGACGGCGGUGUUUGGCACCUCGAUGUCGGCUCAUCACAUCCUGGGGCUGAAGUAGGUCCCAAGGGUAUGGCUGUUCGCCAUUUAAAGUGGUACGCGAGCUGGGUUUAGAACGUCGUGAGACAGUUCGGUCCCUAUCUGCCGUGGGCGCUGGAGAACUGAGGGGGGCUGCUCCUAGUACGAGAGGACCGGAGUGGACGCAUCACUGGUGUUCGGGUUGUCAUGCCAAUGGCACUGCCCGGUAGCUAAAUGCGGAAGAGAUAAGUGCUGAAAGCAUCUAAGCACGAAACUUGCCCCGAGAUGAGUUCUCCCUGACUCCUUGAGAGUCCUGAAGGAACGUUGAAGACGACGACGUUGAUAGGCCGGGUGUGUAAGCGCAGCGAUGCGUUGAGCUAACCGGUACUAAUGAACCGUGAGGCUUAACCUU
rnacentral:rRNA from 1 species